rnacentral:tRNA from 1 species
GCCUGUAGCCAAGUCGGUUAAGGCAACGGACUCAUAAUCCGUCGAUCCUGGGUUCAAGUCCCAGCGGG